rnacentral:rRNA from 1 species
AGUGAACGCUGGCGGUAGGCCUAACACAUGCAAGUCGAACGGCAGCACAGUGAGAGCUUGCUCUUACGGGUGGCGAGUGGCGGACGGGUGAGGAAUACAUCGGAAUCUACUUAUUCGUGGGGGAUAACGUAGGGAAACUUACGCUAAUACCGCACACGACCUACGGGUGAAAGCAGUGGAUCUUCGGACCUUGCGCGAUUGAUUGAGCCGAUGUCGGAUUAGCUAGUUGGCGGGGUAAAGGCCCACCAAGGCGACGAUCCGUAGCUGAUCUGAGAGGAUGAUCGGCCACACUGGAACUGAGACACGGUCCAGACUCCUACGGGAGGCAGCAGUGGGGAAUAUUCGACAAAGGGCGAAAGCCUGAUCCAGCCAUACCGCGUGGGUGAAGAAGGCCUUCGGGUUGUAAAACCCUUUUGUUAGGAAAGAAAAGCAGCGGAUUAAUACCCCGCUGUUCGGACGGUACCCAAAGAGUAAGCACCGGCUAACUUCGUG